AUCAUCACAGGUCCUGUAAGCACAGAACAACCUCAGGGCUGCUCUGCAGGAGGAGGUUCCUACGAUAUAGAAACAUUUCAAUUAAUAUCUUCCAUUUAACAGAGUUUGCCUGAUUGACCUAUCAGGGAUAGGAACAGAGACAAAAUGGCAGAGAUGAUAAUAAAUCUCACCCUAGAGAUACUCUUACAUCUUACUGGAGAGGAUUACACAGUGGUGAAGAAGACCUCUAGUGAGCGCUGUCAGGGUCCUG